GGAAAAUCAAAUGAGUCCUGUCGACAACCCACCGAGACAGCAGUGUGACGUGCACCAGGUGGUCUGUGCCACUGUAUCCAGUCUGGAGAAGUGUGCUGCCUGUGUGGGGCCUGUUGCAGCCUUCAAGUGGCAGGGAUACAAAUGCAAAACUUGUUUAAACGCCUGGCAUAAAAUAUGCCUCAGACGAACAAAGACAGACUUCGUCCAUGUGUCAGAG